rnacentral:rRNA from 1 species
UCAUAUGCUUGUCUCAAAGAUUAAGCCAUGCAUGUCUAAGUACAAACUUUUACACGGUAACACCGCGAAUGGCUCAUUAAAUCAGUUAUGGUUUAUUAGAUGGUGCUAUCCUACUCGGAUAACUGUGGUAAUUCUAGAGCUAAUACGUGAUACAAAGCUCCGACCCUCGUUUGGAAAGAGCGCCUUUAUUAGAUCAAGAUCAACCGGUUUGGCGCGACGUGGCGUUUUCGCCGUCAAAAGCGGAGCGCGCUCGCGCCGUGCCGCCAUAAAGCGUGAUGAUUCUGAAUAACGUGUUUUCUCGCCGAUCGUAUGGCCCCGCGCCGACGACGCAUCUUUCAAAUGUCUGCCCUAUCAACUUUCGUUGGUAGAUGUUAUGCUUACCAAGGUACUUACGGGUAACGGGGGAUCAGGGUUCGAUCCCGGAGAGGGAGCAUGAGAAACGGCUACCACAUCCAAGGAAGGCAGCAGGCGCGCAAAUUACCCACUCUUAGCACGAGGAGGUAGUGACGAAAAAUAACAAUACGGGACUCUUUCGAGGCCCCGUAAUUGGAAUGAGUACACUCUAAACCCGUUAACGAGGAUCGAUUGGAGGGCAAGUCUGGUGCCAGCAGCCGCGGUAAUUCCAGCUCCAAUAGCGUAUAUUAAAGCUGUUGCAGUUAAAAAGCUCGUAGUCGGACGUCGGGCGGCGGCCAACGGUUCGGUUCCGUGCCGAUUACUGCUGGUCGCGGCCUCCACGCCGGCCGUCUCGUUUGGGUGCUCUUAACUGCAGUGCCUCGAGUAGCCGGAGCGUUUACUUUGAAAAAAUUAGAGUGUUCAAGGCAGGCCACGAGCCUGAAUGAUGGUGCAUGGAAUAAUGGAAUAGGACCUCGGUUCUAUUUUGUUGGUCUUCGGAACUGGAGGUAAUGAUUAAUAGGGACCGACGGGGGCAUUCGUAUUGCGGCGUUAGAGGUGAAAUUCUUGGAUCGUCGCACGACGGACUACUGCGAAAGCAUUUGCCAAGCAUGUUUUCAUUGAUCAAGAGCGAAAGUCAGAGGAUCGAAGACGAUCAGAUACCGUCCUAGUUCUGACCAUAAACGAUGCCGACUAGCGAUCCGGCUCCGUUGCUUCAUAAGACUGGCCGGGCAGCUCCCGGGAAACCAAAGUUUCUGGGUUCCGGGGGAAGUAUGGUUGCAAAGCUGAAACUUAAAGGAAUUGACGGAAGGGCACCACCAGGAGUGGAGCCUGCGGCUUAAUUUGACUCAACACGGGAAAACUCACCCGGCCCGGACACCGUAAGGAUUGACAGAUUGAAAGCUCUUUCUUGAUUCGGUGGGUGGUGGUGCAUGGCCGUUCUUAGUUGGUGGAGCGAUUUGUCUGGUUAAUUCCGAUAACGAACGAGACUCUAGCCGGCUAACUAGUCCGUCGAUACGCUUGAGUUUCAUAGACUCGGUCGGCGCACGAGCACGCGUUAACGCGCGUGGGGCGCGUGUGCGCGCGCGCGCGCCUGUCAUAGGGUGUGUGUGCGUGUGCGCGUUGUUUCGCGCGGCCGCGCGCGUGUUCGACUUCUUAGAGGGACCAGUGGUGUUUAACCACGCGAGAUUGAGCAAUAACAGGUCUGUGAUGCCCUUAGAUGUUCGGGGCCGCACGCGCGCUACACUGAACGACUCAACGUGCUAACAUCUCCUGGUUCGAAAGGACUAGGUAAUCCGUUGAACCUCCUUCGUGCUAGGGAUUGGGGCUUGCAAUUCUUCCCCAUGAACGAGGAAUUCCCAGUAAGCGCGAGUCAUAAGCUCGCGUUGAUUACGUCCCUGCCCUUUGUACACACCGCCCGUCGCUACUACCGAUUGAAUGGUUUAGUGAGGUCCUCGGACUGGUGGUGCUCGCACUCGGCUCGCGUUCGCGCGCGUGUCGCGGUGUGGACAUCGUGCCGGGAAGACGAUCGAACUUGAUCAUUUAGAGGAAGUAAAAGUCGUAACAAUGGUUUCC